rnacentral:rRNA from 1 species
CGCCUUGCCAGCCCGCUCAGAACUUAAAGGAAUUGACGGGGCCCGCACAAGCGGUGGAGCAUGUGGUUAAUUCGAUGAUACGCGAGGAACUUACCUGGGCUCGAACGUAAGAUGACUGUAGGUGAAAGCUUACAUCUCUUCGGAGCAUUUUACGAGGUGCUGCAUGGUUGUCGUCAGCUCGUGCCGUGAGGUGUCGGGUUAAGUCCCAUAACGAGCGCAACCCCUACCUUUAGUUGCCAUCAGGUUAAGCUGGGGACUCUAAAGGAACUGCCUACGCAAGUAGUGAGGAAGGCGGGGAUGACGUCAAAUCAGCACGGCCCUUACGUCCAGGGCUACACACGUGCUACAAUGGCCGAUACAGAGGGCAGCUACCUGGUGACAGGAUGCAAAUCUCCAAAGUCGGUCUCAGUUCGGAUCGGAGUCUGCAACCCGACUCCGUGAAGUUGGAUUCGCUAGUAAUCGCGCAUCAGCCAUGGCGCGGUGAAUACGUUCCCGGGCCUU